rnacentral:lncRNA from 1 species
GGGUGCUGUGCCUCAGUAUCACCAGGGUGCUGUCAGGACCAGGGACAGAUCAGGAGGUGAAGGAAAUGUUUGCUUCAUGAGAAAAUGAGAGGGGGCUGCAAACUCCAAGACCCAGGAAUGCCUCUCCAUGGCUUCACACAUAUGUCCUACGGGUGGAGAUGGGGCUUGCUGAAGCAGGUUACUCCAAAGCACCUGCCACCUCAAGGGGUAAGACAAGACCAGCAUUGUACAAUCACAUGAUGUGAGUCUCAUGUGAAUCCUACUGUCUAGUCACCAU